rnacentral:lncRNA from 1 species
UUACUACUCCUUAUUUCUCCCACCUCUCUCUUUCUACUUUUUACUUUCUCUUUCUAGAUUUUCACGAAAUUUAAGCUCAAAUCUCCGACGAAUGGCGAUAAUAUUUCCACAAGUAACAAUUCCUCAAUUAAAGGAAAAUUUGUAUUUUUUAUAUUAAAGGCACCACCUACUGCUCUCUUAUUUAUUGCUCCUUCUUUCAAAUUCAUUUUUUUCAUUAAAGGAAAAAUCAAUAAAGGUGGAAAGAAUAGUGCGUUGCGGGUUCAUGAGGUAUCUGUCAUUAAUAGCGGGAUGGUAUUGUUGUAGAAGAAAGGUGGAGUCUUAUCAAUUUUUUUGACUCUACAAGGUACAAAAGUUAUGUAUCUAAGUGAGUUUUAAGUUACUGAUACAUAGACAUUGUAAU